rnacentral:rRNA from 1 species
AGAACGAACGCUGGCGGCAGGCCUCAAACAUGCAAGUCUAGGGGGGUGUAGCAAUACAUCACCGGCGGACGGGUGCGUAACACGUGGGAAUAUACCUUUCGGUACGGAACAACUGCGGGAAACUGCAGCUAAAUACCGUAUACGUCCUAGCGGAGAAAGAUUUAUCGCCGAAGGAUUAGCCCGCGUAGGAUUAGCUAGUUGGUGAGGUAAUGGCUCACCAAGGCUCCGAUCCUUAGCUGUUCUGAGAGGAAGAUCAGCCACACUGGGACUGAGACACGGCCCAGACUCCUACGGGAGGCAGCAGUUGGGAAUCUUGGACAUGGGGGAAACCCUGAUCCAGCCAUGCCGCGUGAGUGAUGAAGGCCUUCGGGUUGUAAAACUCUUUCGACGGGGACGAUAAUGACGGUACCCGUAGAAGAAGCUCCGGCUAACUUCGUGCCAGCAGCCGC